CCAGGUUUUUGGGCAACGACUG
rnacentral:miRNA from 1 species